UGCAAUAGUAGGCUAACAAUGCCAGUGAAGUUCACUACACUAAGAUUAAAAUGAAAAUAUUUGAUGUAGACAUCAGACAAACACAUCGAAUAUUUAGAUGAGGAUCGUCUCAUAGACUGCCUUAGUAAUCCGUUUUAUCUCCCGUCUGGGUAAGCAUAUUUAAUAAGGCAUUCAGGAGGACUGAAUAAUGAAAUUCACAGCAAAUUAUUCCUUCGGACAAAACCAACAAUAAUGAAAUUCAGAAAAACUAAAUUAAUUUCAUAAUAGACUGAAUAAUGUCCCCGACAAAACUUUAUGGGCUUAAAACUAAAUUGCAGUACAACAUAGCCUUUGACAUUUCUCCAUUUUGAAAAGGAAAGGAGGAGGAGAAUGAGAGAGAAGGCACCUUUAUUUUCAUCUUGUUCACCAAUAAUCACGGCAAGAGCACGCCCCAUCUUUGAAAUGGUGGAAUCUCUUGGCAUCUCGCAUGAUGAGUUCUCUUCCAACAAUCUUUGAAAUGAUCUUCACUGCAUUAUGGCAAUCACCACAAACACGAAGAUUCUUUAUUAUUCGAAUAGGUGAGCGUGCAGGACUGGUUAGAAGACCAUAAGCAGUAGCAAGUCUUUCACUAUGAGCAAGAAGCGCCUCCUCCUUGCCUUCCUGGUCUAUGUCGUGCAACACAAAUCUUGUCUCUGGAAUGUAACCAGCUUCUUUCAUCUGUGCCUUCAAACCUCUAAGCAAGGCAUAGAUUCUAUCGUUUUCAGGAUGUGAUGUGUCCCCUGCUCGAUACUCAUGGACCCUACUCCUAACUUCUAAAAGAUUUUGACUUGUCAACUUCUUCUUCUCUGUCUCUUUUUCAAGGUCUGAAUCUUUUCCAGCUACAAGGCCUGCCUUAGAUUGUUCAAUCAAUUUUGAAGGGUCUAAAAGCUCCACAAGCUCAGCACAACGAUCCCCAAGCUCCAAGUUCCCAUGAAGUCGGCUGAGAUUCAUUAAGGUUACCCAAACAUCUAUAUUUGGUGUCAUUGGCAUUUUUUCAAUGAACUCUAAAGCUUCAUCCAAAUACCCAGUACUUCCCAGCAUGUCCACAACGCUUACGUAAUGUUCCAUUGAUGGGACAAUGCCAUAAUCCUUCAUCAUGGAUUCAAAGUGAAGCAUCCCUUCAUUAACAUCGCCAACAUCACCACAAGAAGAGAAUACCCCGAUAUACAUUUGUGCAUUAGGUUCUAAUUCAGCUUGUUUAAAUUGACUAAACAGAUCAAUGGCAUCCUCCCCAAGUCCAUGCUUAGCAAGCCAUGUUAUCAUAAUAUUCCAAGAAUUCAAAUUGCGCUCUGGCAUUUUGUCAAACACAUCAAAUGCCUUGUCCAUAGAACCACAUUUUGCGUACAUCUCUAAGAUCUUGUUAUACGUACAGACUUCCAAAGGGAGCAGUGAUCUCAUAAUGUGAUCAUGAACAGCUUUUGCUUCUUGUAAAGCCUUAGCCUCCCCACAUGCCUGCAUCAACUGCAAAAAACGAGGCAAAUCCACAGGAACAUGCUGCUCCUCCAACGAAUGCAAAAGUUCAACAGCUUCCUUCACUUUCCUUCCCUUGCAGAAGUCAUCAAGAUCCUCCAGGGUACCUCUAUCUGGACUAGUUUCAGAAGACUCAUCCAAUGUCCCUUCAACUUUGGGAUCGCUAGAUACAUGAGAAGCUUGUUUUAAAUUAUUUACACCAUUCAAUUUUGGCUGAUAUUGUACAACAUUGACACUCCGCUGGUUGUUUACAACAUUUAGGUUCUGCUGAUAUUGGCCAGCACUUGGGCCUUGCUGAUACAUUCCAGCAUUUCCCAUGUAAUAACCACUUGAGCCAGGCUGAAACUGAUUAACAUUUUGAGUAUAAUUUCUAUUCCAGCUUCCUUGUGACCCUGAAGGACCUUGCAAAUGAAGCCCAGUUGGGGUUUGUCUCACCUCUCUAGGUGCUUCGUGAUAAUACCCAUGCACAUUCGGUUUUCCACUCCCUCCAUAAACCCCUUUUAGAUGAUCCUGCGAACUCUUUGAAUUCAACGCAGAAACCUCCCUAUUUGUGUGUUGAAACUGCCCAGUAUUCACAUAAUAUCCACUAUAAUUACCCUUCCUCUUAUUUGGAUUAUUUUGAUUAACACUCCUACUGCUUUCCCAACAACUCCCAUUAAAAUUCUGGUAAUCACCAUCCAAAUUGUGCGGAAAUUUUCCAUGAUUUUGCCCAGAAGACCUGCCAGAAUUCCCCUUUUCCACAACCUGAAUAUUUCCUACAACAUUUCCAGUGGUUUCCCUAAGACCCCAACAACGGUUUAAGCCCUGCCCAUUUGGUUUUUGCACAAAUUCAACAAGGUUUUGGCUCUCACCGCAGGAACCACUAGGGUUUUGGAAAUGCUCAUUAGAAUUCUCCAAAUGGCAGUCAACAGAGUUUAAAAGCUCUGAUCUUUCAGCUGCAGUGCUAAGAUUUUUUGAUAGAGUUAGGGUUUUGAUCGAAUCAGACGAGUUGCUCGAAUAGCGUACCUUACAUAGAACUGCAAGGGAAUUGAUUGAGAGAAGCGAGACUCUCCUCUUGUACAUUUGAUCCCUCAAACCUAAGCAGCUUCAAAUGGAGAGAGAGAGAGAGAG
rnacentral:misc_RNA from 1 species